rnacentral:rRNA from 1 species
UACGUAGGGGGCAAGCGUUGUCCGGAAUUAUUGGGCGUAAAGCGCGCGCAGGCGGCCUCGCGCGCCCGACGUGAAAGCCCCCGGCUUAACCGGGGAGGGUCGUUUGGGGACGGCGGGGCUUUGAGGGCGGGAGAGGUCGGUGGAAUUCCCGGUGUAGUGGUGAAAUGCGUAGAUAUCGCUUGGAACGCCGACGGCGAAAGCAGUCUGCUGGGGGUGUGCUGACGCUGAGACACGAAAGCCAGGGGAGCGAACGGG